ensembl:lncRNA
GGGCCAACGACCGUCUGGCGGAGGCCAACGCCAAGCUCCUGGGCGAGCGUCACCGCAGCAAGUCGCUGAUCGCCAGCAGCAUGGCCAACGGCAGCCUGGGGGGCCCCCCGCUGGACCUGGGCUCCCUGGGCUCGCUGCCCGCCUACGGGGCCUCCCUGGGGGGCCUGGGCCUGGGGCCCGGGGGCAGCCCCUUGGGGGGGCGGCAGGGCAGCAGAGUGGAGGAUUACCUGGCCAAGGUGAGCAGCGCUGGGGCGGCGGUGUUUCUGGGGUGGUUGUUUUUGUCUUCCUUUGCGGGAUGUUACUGAUUUUUUGCUGUUGUUGUGUUUGUUUUUUCUUUGUUUGUAUUUCCUUCGCCGUCACGUGUUGGGAACGGUGCGCAGCUUCUAGCUCAGAAAUCUGUCUCUCACCUCUCCCCUCUCCAGCCAGACACAUGAGCAGAUGCAGAGUGAGUUGGAGAGAAACGUGACCAAGGAGCUGAGCCAUGCCACGGUGGAGCUGGAGGGUAGUGGGGCUCGGCCCGGCUGUCCCGCUGGGCUCUGCCUCGCAGCGGACCCCUGGACGACCCGGGAAGCCGCGCCACGCAGCAGUACCUGGACGUCCUGAAGAGGAACUACAUGAUCUGAGGGGGGGGGGGAGGGGACAGCCUCUCACGGA